rnacentral:ncRNA from 1 species
GUCGGUCACAGUCGCCGUGUAAUUGAUAAAGACGUGGCCGCGCGCCUGAUCAAUGGUGUGAAACAGCGGGUUCCACAUAAACAGUGGCAGCAUGUAGCCGGGCAGGGUGCCCGCCAGCAUCAUUUUGCCCGAAAAGAACAUGUUGGAGCGCUG